ACGCCAUGCUGCUUCUCUGAAAGAACUGGGCUAGGGGCAGUAUAAGCCCAGAGUCAUAAACCCAAGAAGGAACAGGACACUAAAAUGAGGGAAAAGCAGGUCUCAAAUCUUAAAGAAAAUGGAUUGAAAUUGGAGUUAACCUGGAUGUCCAAAGGGAAUGCAAUUUGGGAAAGGGAAAGGCACACAACUGAAAUGAAAGGUCACAUAACCCUCCCUCCUACGCCUUAGCCACCAUCCACUCUAGAUUUGUGCAAAUAUUUUGUUUCCUAAAAGAGCACUUACCAUUUGUUACCAAGUUCAUCCUAUUUCCCCCACAUGCAAUCUGAUGAAAAGCCCCACCCCAAAUUCUUCCAAAUAACACCCCGGCCUUUGGACCAGUCCCCAGAACUACUCCAUCCACCCCCCUUUGCAUGCCCCUCGUCACUUCAAAUCUAAGUCCCUUUUCCCUUUCUUCUCUGUGGCUGCCUGGCAAAGUGUGCUGAAAUUAAUUGAGCACAGUAGGCACCACCUGUUAUAAGUUCUUUAGCUCUUGUUAUUCCAAUAGCAACUCUUACACUUGGCCUUUUUGACAGUUUCAUGGAGCUGGAAGAAUGGGACACAAGCUCUGUCUUCUGUUGAACAAGAAAGAUGGAAGUUUGUGGCAUCGUUGGAAACACCUCAUAUGGUUGUGCUGGAAACUGUUGGGUGACAUGCUACAGGCCAGUUUAAUCUGAUGGGGGUUUUUUCCCUUAGAUGGAAGUCCUGGCACUGCCUCCAGCUUGGCUCUCUUCAUCUUCUCCUUCUUCUGGCAGAGCCCCAGCAUCUCCAAGGAGACACAGCACCUAGAGCGGGCCAUGGCCAGCUGCCUCCCACCAGGAUCUGCCCAAUUUUGGAUUUUAUAUUCUUCGGGCCCCAUUGUCUCAUACAUUGAAGAGGAUGUCUUCUCACCUCUCUGGGAUUGCCCAAGAGAGAGUUGCUGUUAACACACACACACACACAUAUAUAUCCUGAUUAGAAGAUACUUUAUCCACCAUGCAAUCCCAAGGAACUGAAUUCACAUCCCAAAAUGGCUCAUUCAAGGUUUUAGCCUGGGUCACAAUACUCAGGUUUUCAGACUUAAGGAGAUAGGAAAAGGGACUAAGGAAAUGAGCACAAUUUCUCAGAACCCAAAAUAAGUAUACCUUGUUAGAAUAUCAUUAAUCCACUCCUUGUACACACACAAUUGAAUGGAAAGGAUAUUUGCAAGGACCAAUAAAAUCUUGCCUGCCUAGUUUUAGCCCAACUAGACUUGAUGGUGGAAGAAGGGGCUACCCAGAAUACAUUUGGAAUCAUUGGCAAAGGUUAGGUGAUUACUCUCUUGGGAGGUGGGGAAACAUUGCUUGCAAAUCAAUGACAUUUGUCAGCACUAAUAUCACAACCCCUCAUCACCUAGACUGUCAACAUCAAUCAGCAUCUUUAAAAAGAAAAGGUGUUUGAGAUAUAGUAGCGAGAGGGAGAGGGCAGGGUGGAGGAAGAAGAAAGGAAAGAUGGUUGGCUCUUGAAAGAGACAUGAAAGAACAAAGGAAUGGAACCUUGGAAAAUUGGACUGUAAUGUAAUUUACCUGAGGGGAAGGAGUAUGUCCUCUCUCCUGUGUUCCUUGUUUCACUUAAAGCAGUAGUUGCAGUACCUUCAGUUUGUUUGUUUUUUCAUGAAUACAAUUUUUUGACCAUCUCCUUUGGGAAAAGCACUGAAAUAGGUAAGUAGAAAUAUGCAAAAAACCCAAACAUAUAAAUUGAAUAUAAUCCCACCU
rnacentral:lncRNA from 1 species